CGGCGGACGGGUGAGUAAUGCCUAGGAAUCUGCCUGGUAGUGGGGGACAACGUUUCGAAAGGAACGCUAAUACCGCAUACGUCCUACGGGAGAAAGCAGGGGACCUUCGGGCCUUGCGCUAUCAGAUGAGCCUAGGUCGGAUUAGCUAGUUGGUGAGGUAAUGGCUCACCAAGGCGACGAUCCGUAACUGGUCUGAGAGGAUGAUCAGUCACACUGGAACUGAGACACGGUCCAGACUCCACGGGAGGCAGCAGCU
rnacentral:rRNA from 1 species